GCGCCUCUUCAGCGAGGUGGGAGGAGGAAAGGAAGGGGCUCCGUAAGGGCUCCCUUCCUUUCCUUCUCCCGCUUCGCUGAAGAGUGUCGC